CACGUAGGGGGCGAGCGUUGUCCGGAUUUAUUGGGCGUAAAGAGCUCGUAGGCGGUUCGAUAAGUCGGGUGUGAAAACUCUGGGCUCAACUCAGAGACGCCACCCGAUACUGUCGUGACUGGAGUCUGGUAGGGGAGUGUGGAAUUCCCGGUGUAGCGGUGAAAUGCGCAGAUAUCGGGAGGAACACCAGUGGCGAAGGCGGCACUCUGGGCCAGUACUGACGCUGAGGAGCGAAAGCGUGGGGAGCGAACAGGAUUAGAUACCCCCGUAGUCC
rnacentral:rRNA from 1 species